GGGGAAGAGCUGUAACAUAAACAACAAAGGUUAAGGUUAGGAAGGGGGUGAAAGAGGUUAUGUUUAGGUGAGAUAAUGAAGGGGGUUAUGUUAAGGAAAAGGAUAUAGGGGAGGGUUAUGUUUAGGAAAGGGGAUGGAGAGGUUAUGGUCAGGGAAAGAGAUGGAGGAGACAACCCCAACACCAACCUCACUCCUAAUCCACUAUCUCCUUUUCUAGGCGACAGGGACAAGUGUGUAUGUCUCGCCUGAGAGGUCGCGGCCCGGAAGAGACGGUGUCGGGACAAAGGUCAAAGACCCCACAGAGCUGUGAAAAAGGUUAGGGUAGGGUCAGGGAAGAGAUGGAGGGGUUAUGGUAAGGAUAAUCCCAACACCCACCUCACUCUUAAUCCACCAAUAUCUCUGGUUCUAGGUGACAGGGACAAGUGUGUAUAUCUCGCCUGAGCAGGUAGUCGGGAUGCAGAUAAGAACACAUACGAGGACUUCACACAUGAGAGACUGGGGGGGGCGGCGGGGACCACCAUCAUUCAGGCCCAUCGGAGCGGUAGAUCCGAGUCUAAAAAUCCACCUCCUCUCAGCUGACCUUCUCUGGACCAGAGUCCAACCUAGAUUGGUCUCCAGGCCAGAGAGGGAAAAGCUAGAAAUGUCAUGCAUGGCAAAAUGGGCGUACAAUAAUUUCGUAACCGUCCCCCUCUGAAUAUGAUAGAUGUGCUGAUAGAGUCUCUGCUUUAAAGUGGCACCUGUUUCACCCACAUAGAUGGCUCUGCAUUUGCUGCAUUGGAUGGCAUAGACAACGUUGGUAGAAAGCAGUGAGAAGGUCUGCCAGAUGGGGGCGCCAGUUUGUAAAUUGUAGAUAUACUUUAGAGAAGUUGGCCCGGUCAGAUGGGAAGAGAGCGGCUACUUCAUGCUUGAUGAGAAGAAGACUAUGGUGUCCAAGAAGGGGACCUGCUGGAGAUGAAGAGUGUGUUUGAGGGUAACACGGGGAUGGUGUGAAUUAAGGAUGUGAAUAAAGUGAUUGAACUCUGUUUCCGACUUGUCCCAUAGACCAAAAAUGUCAUCUAGAUAGCGAUAGUAUAGGAGCGGGCGUGACGGGCAUUUGAGGAGCGCUGAUUCUUCCCAGUCAGCCAAAUAGAUAUCUGCAUAGGCCGGUGAAUAUUUUCUGCCCAUAGCGCAACCGCAUGUCUGAAGAAAAAAAGAUUUAUCAAACAGGAAGUCAUUUCGGGUAAGGGUAAGUUGUAGAAACUGUAAAAUAAAAUAAUCAGGGCGAGAUGAGUCGGG
ensembl:lncRNA